GAGCACGUAGGUGGGUUUGUAAGUCAGAUGUGAAAGCCUUCUGUUCAACGGAAGAAUAGCGUCUGAAACUGCGAGUCUUGAGUGUAGGAGGGGAGAAUGGAACUUCUGGUGGAGCGGUGAAAUGCGUAGAUAUCAGAAGGAACGCCGGCGGCGAAAGCGAUUCUCUGGCCUAUUACUGACACUCAGUGUGCGAAAGCUAGGGGAGCAAACGGGAUUAGAUACCCCGGUAGUCCUAGCCGUAAACGAUGGGCACUAAGUAGAGGGGUUUU
rnacentral:rRNA from 1 species